rnacentral:rRNA from 2 species
UAGGGAAUUUUCGGCAAUGGGGGCAACCCUGACCGAGCGACGCCGCGUGAGUGAAGAAGGCCUUCGGGUUGUAAAGCUCUGUUGUAAGGGAAGAAUGGCACCAGCAGGGAAUGGCUGGUGAUUGACGGUACCUUACCAGAAAGCCACGGCUAACUACGUGCCAGCAGCCGCGGUAAUACGUAGGUGGCAAGCGUUAUCCGGAAUUAUUGGGCGUAAAGGGUGCGUAGGCGGCUAUUUAAGUUCAAGGUUAAAGUUCGGGGCUCAACCCCGUGAUGCCUUGGAAACUGGAUGGCUAGAGUACAGGAGAGGUGAGUGGAAUUCCAUGUGUAGCGGUAAAAUGCGUAGAUAUAUGGAGGAACACCAGUGGCGAAGGCGGCUCACUGGCCUGUAACUGACGCUGAGGCACGAAAGCGUGGGGAGCAAAUAGG